rnacentral:rRNA from 1 species
UGGGGAAUAUUGCGCAAUGGACGAACGUCUGACGCAGCGACGCCGCGUGUGGGAUGAAGGUCUUCGGAUCGUAAACCACUGUCAGGGGGGACGAAGGCCCGGCGGUUCAUACCCGUUCGGGAUUGACGGUACCCUCGGAGGAAGCACCGGCUAACUCUGUGCCAGCAGCCGCGGUAAUACAGAGGGUGCAAGCGUUGUCCGGAAUCACUGGGCGUAAAGGGCGCGUAGGCGGCUGGGUAAGCCGCGUGUGAAAGCCCGGGGCUCAACCCCGGAACUGCACGCGGGACUGCCUGGCUCGAGAGUGGUAGAGGCGAGUGGAAUUCCUGGUGUAGCGGUGGAAUGCGUAGAGAUCAGGAAGAACACCGGUGGCGAAGGCGGCUCGCUGGGCCAUUUCUGACGCUGAGGCGCGAAAGCGUGGGGAGCAAACAGG